CAACCGUAACCGUUUCAUAAUACAGUUAAAAGUCGAUUGAAGAUAGUUUGGAGGUGCUAUACAGACCAGCAUAUCAAGCUACCCUAAACAUUUUCAACCUUAACUGUUUGGUUAUAAAGUUAAAAGUCGAUUGAAGAUAGUUUGGAGAUGCUAUACAGGCCAGCACAUUAAGCUACCCUAAAGAUUUUCAACUCUAACUGUUUGGUUAUAAAGUUUAAAGUCGAUUGAAGAUACUUUGGAGGUGAUACCACCACGGUCUGUAUAUACAGACCACCACAUUAAGCUACCCUAAAAAUUUUCAACCCUAACUGUUUAGUUAUAAAGCUAAAUAUCGAUUGAAGACAAAUAGUUUAGGUUAACUUCAUCUGCAGUAUAAUUUGACAAGUCAAGUAAUGUUUGUAAAGCAAGUAAUUUUGAUGUGUUGACGUUAUUUAAAUUUAAAAAAAGAACGUUCUUUUUUUACGCAUCGAUAUACGUACUUUUUUUUUUCUUGUAUUUUGAUAAUGAUUGUCUUGUAGGCCGUGCUUUAAUAGGGUAGAUGACAAAUUUUUAUUUUAAUAUCCGUCUUGUAGAUUAUUAUAAAAUAUUAGCCACGUAUUUAAUUUUCUUUACGGAAGCAUAUACUUUCAAAGAUAGAGGUAUAUCGAUUUGAAAUAUCACGUGACGUCACUUUUGAGUAGGUUUUAUACUCAAUAGUGACGUAGUUAGCUCCCACUCCUAAACUUUGACACGUUUUAUGUAAGCAUUGUUGUCUUAUAUGACAAAAUAAAAAAUACGUGUCUAAUAUUUUUUCAUUACCUAACUGAUGGACUAAAUAGAUUUUUAAUUUUCAUACUCCGUCAUCAUCCCUAUUAGA